AUUGUCCCUCCAGCUACUUCUGCUAACAUGUUAAUAGCAGGACAAGUCCUGGGACUGACCUGUGGCUUUCAGUCCUCUCCUGGCAAAGCAGGAGGUCUGAGCAGUGGAGGUAGGUGCAGGGGUUUGUGCCACUGGCUGCUCUCAGAGCAGCAGUGGAAGGACUAUCUGUUACAACAUGCUUUUCCCUCAGGUGAGUUACUUUUAAUAGAUGCUUUGUUUUAGGAAAUGAUGAGUUGGCAUUGCUACUUUUGACUUUACUUCAGGGAAGAUGUAGGUUCAGGGGGGUUCUCUGCUUCCAGUAGUGUGAUUUCUUUUCAUAAGAGUAGGCUGAUGCAAAUACACCAGUUGUCUAAGCCUCUAGGUAUGUAUUUAGAAAAUAAAUACAUUACCCAUCCAUGUCUUUUACAGGGAAGUCUUUCAAGUCUUCCCACCUUUUUUCAGUGUUUUUAAGCAUUGUACAGUCUGAUCCAAAGACCAAGAGCAUGACCAGGAGUGUUCUCUGAAUGAUGAGAAUUGAUUCUGAAUUAGAUCAUAAAAGAAGUGUGCACUGUGACAGCAUUUUGUAAAUUUGAGCUUUUUUUCUUUUUCAUGAGAAUCUGGUUUUUUGCAACCCGUCUGAGUAGGAGAAUAUGCAGCGUUAGCACCGUGAGUUCACCCAGUCAAACAUUUGUGAUCAGUUUAUUCUCCCUGGGGUUUGAAGGUCUCUUCACAUUCCCAAGGAGCUUCUAUGACUCAAAGAGCAACCAUCAGAGGACACGUCACAUCAGCAGUUGCUAGACAAAGAACAGAAAUCAGACUGCUUGCAAGGAUACCAGCUGUGGAUGUAUCAUCAUAGCUCUUCUGCAAUAGUGGAAAAGUUGCUUUCUUUUUAUAUGGUUAUGUCAAGAGGAAUCACUUACAAAGUUGGGCUCACAUGGUUGUUUGGAGUAUUGAAGUCAACAGCUCCUUUAACAACAAUCCCAGCAUCUGGGCAGAUAUCCAUGGGAGCUUUGGGAGCUCUCUUUAGUUCUCUUUUUUUUAGUUCAGGAUGCCCCAGAAAGAAACACCAUUUAUACUGCAUUAACUAGCUGCUACUUCACCCCUAAUGCCAAGACUUGAUGUAGUGAAGCAAAACUACAGUGAAGUAAUGAAAUCAAUAAUGUUAUUAAAAUAACUUGCAGCAGUUACCAGACACCCUGCUGGCCAAUCUUUCAUUCCUAAGGGGAUGUCAGCAGGAACAUGCCAGGGCCACAGAUAACAGCCAAAAGCCAACUUGCCUUCACCCCACUCAGGGAAGCUUUUCCAGAACAAGCACAGCGGCAGGCAGCCAGGGAGAGUCCCAGGAUGGAUGAGGGUCAGCUUGGGUGGGAUGGCAGCAGAGAAGAGAGGAUAAGCAGCUCCAAAAAGGUAGUUUUUGGCUUGCAGUUUUGCAUAAGAAAGCUUUUCUACCACUAAUGAAGCUAGAGUGAUACAUUACCAGGAGCAGUGCAUACUGUGCACUGGAAAAAGCUGUCUGGAAAAGAUUAAUCUGGUCUUGAAGGCCAGAUGUGUCUUGGUUGGCCAUUGAGAGGCUGGAGGGUCUGGCUUAUUGAUGGAUGCAAUGAAGACAAAACAGCUCUGCUUGGCCUGAAUCUCUGUGUUUAAAAACACAUUUUAUUGUCAAUGCAUAACUGAAUAAAGAAGAUUAACUAUAUGCUAGUACGGCCUAAGCCUUCUUACUGUGCAAAGACCAUAAAACCAUCCUAACACAGACAACCAGAACUGAGAAAGUAUUUUAAUAACACACUUUUACUGGUCAUGUUUUACACAAAUAUUUCCACCACUAUUAGCCACAUCUCCUGGAAACAAGUUCAUAGGCAAGUAAUUUUAAGUGCUAAAUAUGCAGGGUCCUCUCUGUCUGGCUCUAUUCUGGUACUCUGUCUAUGCCCUUCCCUGAACUGACUGCAGCUGCCAUCUGUCUAGCUUCUUCCUGGCCAUCUUCUCUGAAAUUUUUUAUUCUAAUUAAAAUAGGGGAACUGAUUUUGCAGGUGAUGGUGACAAGCAUGUGGUGUGAGCUUUUCUUGAAAUAUUAGAAUGAUUUCUAGAAAAGGAGGCAGAGAACAAAACCCCACAAAGACACAACAGUGGACUUUGAGACAAACUUCAGCUAACUCACAGUGUUAGUAUACACAAGCCCAGAGGAACAAAUCCAAGGCAGAAAGAACAUUUGGGAAGUUGGCAGUGCCCUAAGGAAGUCGAAUGAAAGGCACAUAACUACUGUGAGCCUCUCUGCUGGGGCAACUUAGCACAAGUGCAGAAGGAAGAGAGUAAGGUAUCAACUGGCUAAGUCAUGAGCUCUUCAUUAGUCUCAAAAGUGCAGAGGAAGCUCACAGAAAGUGGAACUAGGUCAUGUUAGUGAGUAUGAAAGAGCAGCAUAAGCGUGGAGGAGCAACAUGAAGAUGUAAGUGAUGCAAUAAACAGUGGGCGUGAAGCGUAUGCACUAAUAGCAACAGGAGAGCCAAAGAAAGAGCUGAGUUUCACAAAGAGAAGCAGACACUGAACUGAUGAUGUCAAAUAUCAAAAGUGUUUGAUACUUUUUCCUUCAGUUUUUGCUCAAAAGUGCCUCAUUUAAGACAAUCAGCAUAAGCAGUCCAAGGAUAAGAAUACUGGCUUCAAGAAAGAACAGAGAGGUCAGACAGUGUCUAAACAAGUCAGACAUAUUCCAACUGGCAGGCUCUAAAAGUCUUCUACCGUGACAGGUAAAGCAGAUGAAGCCCACUCAGCACAUCAGCACAGAAGUCAGGGAUGGGGACAUGUGUUUCUUUCUUGGGAAAGGCCAAUCUAGCACCUACCACAAAAAGGGAAGGACAGACAGGAGGAACCAGGAAUCAGAGACCAGACAGAUUAAUUUCAAUUCCUGGAAAAUUACUGGAAGUGGUUAUUGGAUAAACUAUUUUCCAGCACCCAGAAGACAACAAGCAGAUGAAGAACAGUGAGUACUGAUUUGACAAGAACAAAUCACAUCAAAUCAAUCUAAUUUUCCUUCUACAGUAGGUCUUAGAUCUUGAUUUUAGGGCAGCUUUUGCCUUUGUCUCACCUGACACUUUCAUAAACCGAGCAAAGAAGCACAGCUUUGAAGAACCUGCUUUUAGAAGAGUGUACAGCUGGUUGGAAAACCAGACUAAGAGCAGUUAUAAAUGUUUCACUGUCAAACAGGCAGUACGUAUCAAAUGAAGUCUGAAGCCAUCUGUUUUGUGUCUGGCAGCACACAGUAUUUUCAUUAAUAUCUUAAAAAAAAAAGAAACAAGAGCAGGGAACAUUUAUUAAAUUAGCACAGGACACUAUGAAGAACAAGCACUUUGGAGAACAGGAGGAGAAUGCAAAACAAUCUUGACAAAUGAGGUAGAGGGAUGGGAAGCGAAGCGCCAUUCAGAACGGACAAAUGGAGCUCUGGGUUUUUGUGGGCGUCAUCAUGGACUGCAAGACCAGCUGGGGAACAACCAGCACAGCAGCAGUUCUGAGAAGAAGAAGAUCUAGGAAUGUCAGCUCAACAUGAAUGAGCGUGGUCAUGCUGCAGUAAAAAAUGAAAGUGCUCUAAUGAGGUGAACAAACAGAAGUGCAGCUUGUGACAAACAGGAAACCAUUCUCUCCCUGUUGGCUACGUUGUCAAGGCUUCAUCUGAAGUAAUCUCUGCAGUUUUGGCCACUGUAGUUCAGGAAGAUUGAGCUGAUUGAAGAAAGUGCAAAGGAGAGCAGUGGCAGUGGUCCAGAAAUGGUGCUGAGUGGAAAAAGCUGAAUAGUCUAAUCAUAAAAAAGUCUGUUGGUCUGUACCACAGUGUAGGGGCUAGGAAGAAAUGAUAGAGAUUAUCUAAUAUAUAAACCAGGAGGGGAGUAAUCUCAUUUUUAAGUCCAUCAGGGCUACUAGAGCACCAGAGUAGGCUGCCCAGAGUUGAAGAAUACCCAGUGUUAGAGGGUUUUGAGGACUAAUGCAAAAUCCCCCCAUGGGGCUUGGGGAGGAGCAGUCAGGCCAGCCUGUGAUUCUGCCAGCCCCACCUCUAACAAUUUCCAGGGGUGGAUAGUCUUUGGGAUUCAACUCACUGCUGGCAUCUGAACAUCUUCAAUACUGAAGGCCAUUUUUCAGUAGGAACAACUGAAUCAAUCAGAGUAAUUGUAUCUUUAAUGAAAUAGUUUUGGUCAGAAGAAGGAGGGCAACAGGAAGACAUAAACUCAGUGUUAAUUAGGGCAGUGUAAUACAAUCGGGUGAUAUUAGAAUUUGCUUGCAGCCUACCUGGUGUUGUGCCAUGGACAAAAGUCAUAUCUUGUUGCAAGCUUUUGGAAAUCUGCUGCUACAAGUUUCCUCUUGCAGCUUACUGAGUGACACCCUGUUUCUGGAUACUCACACUCACUCUUUGUCCUCUGUUACCUUGACAGUAUCCUCCCCUCUGGUAUCCUGUAGGGACUGUCCUAUUGUUGCAAAUGCUUCCUGCUUCUUGCUCUUAGAAGAAAUCCUUGCCUCAAAGGCCUCUUUGGCUGUAAUACCCCCUAGCCCUCCAGUUCCCUGCCUUUCCUUAGGUGUCUAGAAAUGCAGCUCUGCUGUCCUCCAAUUCAUGUUAGCCCUCUCCUUAAAGCCCUUCCCAGAGUUUUAUAUCAUGUGGUUUUGUAGCCCUCUCUGCUUACUAAUGUCUUCCCCUCUGGCCUUGGUCUCUUCCCAGGACUCUCAAUUUGCCGCCCUAGACUUCCACACUUCAUCACCCGAAAUCAGUGUCAUACAUUUGCCUGGCUGCCCACAAAGCUGAGCACUCCACACAGGAAAAGGAAACUACCUCCCAGCUCAAGUGAAAUGCAAAGCAGCAGCUCUGGAAAAUGAGUAUCAGGAUUGGAACUAGACAUGACCUGUCUUAGAGCUGCUUGGUACCAAAGAACAAAUGUGCCUUUAACUACUGAGGUAUCCCGAAGAUGUGAUUCACACCGUAUCGUGGCUAGAGCCAGGAAUAGGAGGAUGGAAAGAAAGAUGGGAAAAAGAAAAAAGAAUUGACACUGUUCUACCAGCCAGGUCUUAGAGAGGAACCAGCACACUCCCAGUCUGGCCCAACGAGCUGCCUUGGACAGGGUGAGUGGAUGUCAGCCAGAAAGGUUGGGAAAAACAGUCCCCUUGUUUUGCAGUGACAGUUAGAUCUCUGAGAGAGAGCUGAAAGAAACAACGAGUGUAGAAACCCACAGCCAACAGCAACAGCCGCCUCCAGAGGAUGACAGGGGGACAAAGAUAGCACUGGAGGCUGCGGCACUCCUUGGCACAGGGCUGGCCAGAGGCGGGAAGUACCUCACAUCCUCUUCUCCGCAUUGUUCUCCCAACUCCUCCGGUGGCUGGGAAAGUUUCUUCCAGCAAUUUACCCCAUCCUCACCCUGCAGCUGGCCAGCCUGCUGCUAUUGAUUCACUUCCCCAGGCAUUUCUCUUACUGUCAUGCUCUUGUGGCAUCAAAGCAGCCACUGGGCUCAGGCAGGGGGGUGGCGCAGACUUCUCACUGUCAGAGGAAACUUUUCCUGCAUACCAACAUUUUUUAACCGCAGGGAAUGGCAGUGGUGAGAGAAAGGGCAAAUGAACACUCCACCAAGAUACAGGUGGAUUUAGGAAGCAUUACUGCUACUUUAGGUGAGAGGCAACACCUUUCAGAACCCAGCACCACUCUAUUACAUGUAAGGUUGUUUUCCUUCUCAGCACAAAAUAAAAAUCAUCAAACAAAGAGUCCUGGGUUUAGAUGUGUAAUUGGAUCAAAUUGUUGUUAAUGACCUUGUUUCGUCUAUUGUGCCUUUAUUUUCCACCCCAGCUUGCACCAGAGCAGGUAGUGUGCUUAACACUGCCGUCGGGGUGACCUGACUUAGAGCCAUCCUGGUUUUAUUCUUCUCUUUGUGAAAAGAGUGUGUCCUUGGAAGAGGCCUUACAUCCUGCAGGACAAGUCUGGGUCUCACUGCCAGAGAGCUACGGAUGAUUGCUAACGUGUCAUGUCAAGAUAAGUACAGGCUAUGGUGUGGUGGACUGGAGGCUUUGAGAACAGCGUGCAAGCACAGAGCUUUAAUGCUAAGGUUACAACUAAACAUCACCUGGGGCCGGCUGCUUAAGUAAGCAUCUUGAAAGGAAAGAAAGAAGAGAUUCAAGACACCAACAUCUUCAACUCCUUUACAGGGUCUCUGAUAUUUGCUCCCUAACCUGUGUUCC